rnacentral:rRNA from 1 species
AUUGAACGCUGGCGGCAUGCCUUACACAUGCAAGUCGAACGGUAACAGGUCUUCGGAUGCUGACGAGUGGCGAACGGGUGAGUAAUACAUCGGAACGUGCCUAGUAGUGGGGGAUAACUACUCGAAAGAGUGGCUAAUACCGCAUGAGUUCUACGGAUGAAAGCAGGGGAUCGCAAGAACUUGUGCUACUAGAGCGGCCGAUGGCAGAUUAGGUAGUUGGUGGGAUAAAAGCUUACCAAGCCGACGAUCUGUAGCUGGUCUGAGAGGACGAUCAGCCACACUGGGACUGAGACACGGCCCAGACUCCUACGGGAGGCAGCAGUGGGGAAUUUUGGACAAUGGGCGAAAGCCUGAUCCAGCAAUGCCGCGUGCAGGAUGAAGGCCUUCGGGUUGUAAACUGCUUUUGUACGGAACGAAAAGCCCCGGGUUAAUACCCUGGGGUCAUGACGGUACCGUAAGAAUAAGCACCGGCUAACUACGUGCCAGCAGCCGCCGCCG